rnacentral:rRNA from 1 species
UUGUGAGGUUAAGCGACUAAGCGUACACGGUGGAUGCCCUGGCAGUCAGAGGCGAUGAAGGACGUGCUAAUCUGCGAUAAGCGUCGGUGAGGUGAUAUGAACCGUUAUAACCGGCGAUUUCCGAAUGGGGAAACCCAGUGUGUUUCGACACACUAUCAUUAACUGAAUCCAUAGGUUAAUGAGGCGAACCGGGGGAACUGAAACAUCUAAGUACCCCGAGGAAAAGAAAUCAACCGAGAUUCCCCCAGUAGCGGCGAGCGAACGGGGAGGAGCCCAGAGCCUGAAUCAGUGUGUGUGUUAGUGGAAGCGUCUGGAAAGGCGUGCGAUACAGGGUGACAGCCCCGUACACAAAAAUGCACAUACUGUGAGCUCGAUGAGUAGGGCGGGACACGUGGUAUCCUGUCUGAAUAUGGGGGGACCAUCCUCCAAGGCUAAAUACUCCUGACUGACCGAUAGUGAACCAGUACCGUGAGGGAAAGGCGAAAAGAACCCCGGCGAGGGGAGUGAAAAAGAACCUGAAACCGUGUACGUACAAGCAGUGGGAGCCUCUUAAUGGGGUGACUGCGUACCUUUUGUAUAAUGGGUCAGCGACUUAUAUUCUGUAGCAAGGUUAACCGAAUAGGGGAGCCGAAGGGAAACCGAGUCUUAACUGGGCGUUAAGUUGCAGGGUAUAGACCCGAAACCCGGUGAUCUAGCCAUGGGCAGGUUGAAGGUUGGGUAACACUAACUGGAGGACCGAACCGACUAAUGUUGAAAAAUUAGCGGAUGACUUGUGGCUGGGGGUGAAAGGCCAAUCAAACCGGGAGAUAGCUGGUUCUCCCCGAAAGCUAUUUAGGUAGCGCCUCGUGAAUUCAUCUCCGGGGGUAGAGCACUGUUUCGGCAAGGGGGUCAUCCCGACUUACCAACCCGAUGCAAACUGCGAAUACCGGAGAAUGUUAUCACGGGAGACACACGGCGGGUGCUAACGUCCGUCGUGAAGAGGGAAACAACCCAGACCGCCAGCUAAGGUCCCAAAGUCAUGGUUAAGUGGGAAACGAUGUGGGAAGGCCCAGACAGCCAGGAUGUUGGCUUAGAAGCAGCCAUCAUUUAAAGAAAGCGUAAUAGCUCACUGGUCGAGUCGGCCUGCGCGGAAGAUGUAACGGGGCUAAACCAUGCACCGAAGCUGCGGCAGCGACACUAUGUGUUGUUGGGUAGGGGAGCGUUCUGUAAGCCUGUGAAGGUGGCCUGUGAGGGUUGCUGGAGGUAUCAGAAGUGCGAAUGCUGACAUAAGUAACGAUAAAGCGGGUGAAAAGCCCGCUCGCCGGAAGACCAAGGGUUCCUGUCCAACGUUAAUCGGGGCAGGGUGAGUCGACCCCUAAGGCGAGGCCGAAAGGCGUAGUCGAUGGGAAACAGGUUAAUAUUCCUGUACUUGGUGUUACUGCGAAGGGGGGACGGAGAAGGCUAUGUUGGCCGGGCGACGGUUGUCCCGGUUUAAGCGUGUAGGCUGGUUUUCCAGGCAAAUCCGGAAAAUCAAGGCUGAGGCGUGAUGACGAGGCACUACGGUGCUGAAGCGACAAAUGCCCUGCUUCCAGGAAAAGCCUCUAAGCAUCAGGUAACAU